rnacentral:rRNA from 1 species
GACUCCAUGAAGCUGGAUUCGCUAGUAAUCGCGCAUCAGCCACGGCGCGGUGAAUACGUUCCCGGGCCUUGUACACACCGCCCGUCAAGCCAUGGAAGCCGGGAGUGCCUGAAGUGCGUGACCGCAAGGAGCGUCCUAAGGCAAUACCGGUGACUGGGGCUAAGUCGUAACAAGGUAAC